GGGGCCUGGUGGGGUCUUAUGGGGUUCUGGUGGGGUCUGGUGGGAUCUUAUGGGAUCAUAUGGGAUCUUGUGGGGCCUGGUGGGGUCUGAUGGGAUCUUAUGGGGUUCUGGUGGGGUCUUAUGGGGUUCUAUGGGGUUCUGGUGGGGUCUGGUGGGGUCUUAUGGGAUCUUGUGGGGCCUGGUGGGGUCUGAUGGGGUUCUGGUGGGGCCUGGUGGGGUCUUAUGGGGUCUGAUGGGAUCUUAUGGGGUUCUGGUGGGGUCUUAUGGGGUUCUGGUGGGGUCUUAUGGGAUCUUAUGGGAUCUGGUGGGGUUCUAGUGGGGUCUUAUGGAGUUCUGGUGGGGUCUGAUGGGGUUUUAUGGGAUUGACCCCAUAGAACGACACUGAGUUCCCAUUGCCAUAAGUCGACCCCAAAG
rnacentral:lncRNA from 1 species